ACUACCCUCCCCCGAUCCCACUUGUGGGAUUCCACUGGGUUGUUGUUGUUGUUGUUGUUGUUUUUGUUGUAGUUUGGCCAGUCAAGCACUUCAACCUGCUAGAUUGCUUAAACAUUUCUGGCUGACUUGACCGGCUAUCAUGGAGUCACAGGAGUCGGGCUAGAAAAGGACUCUUAUGGUAUUGCAAUAUGAUUUGGUCGUAUACUGAAUCCAGAGAAGAUAAACCGGUGCUGCUUCAUUCUUACGUCAAGAUGGAUUACUACCCCAAAGUUCCGGUGUACAAAGGUUGAGCUGAAGUUGCACUAGAACUUGUGGAAAAUAUCGAGGAUCCAGAGAACAUGGAACUUGGGACGACUCCACUGCAGAAACCUGGUGCAACUCCGCCGUUGGUCUUCAUACAGAACUUCAGAAAUGCAUGUUGUUGGUAUUUACUCCUCAAGCAGUCUUCUAAGCCACCUCCUUUUCCAUCAGAAUCCUAGGAACAAUGCCUCCUACCUAAGAUGGCAACAUCGGUAUAAUCUACUCAAAUCACUUGCCUCUGCGAUUCGAUAUCUGCCAUUAUUAUUUAUCCAGAUAUGAAUCGAAGGCUUGGUUUCUUUGCUCUUGCUGAAUUCUUGACUAGAAAUGAGCAUGGGCAUCAUGUUGUUCUUGAUAAAAAUAAAUCAGUUUGAGGAAUUUUUGUUUCCAUCUCA